UACUCCUACGGGAGGCAGCAGUGGGGAAUAUUGGACAAUGGGCGAAAGCCUGAUCCAGCCAUGCCGCGUGUGUGAAGAAGGUCUUCGGAUUGUAAAGCACUUUAAGUUGGGAGGAAGGGCAGUAAGUUAAUACCUUGCUGUUUUGACGUUACCAACAGAAUAAGCACCGGCUAACUUCGUGCCAGCAGCCGCGGUAAUACGAAGGGUGCAAGCGUUAAUCGGAAUUACUGGGCGUAAAGCGCGCGUAGGUGGUUCAGCAAGUUGGAUGUGAAAUCCCCGGGCUCAACCUGGGAACUGCAUCCAAAACUACUGAGCUAGAGUACGGUAGAGGGUGGUGGAAUUUCCUGUGUAGCGGUGAAAUGCGUAGAUAUAGGAAGGAACACCAGUGGCGAAGGCGACCACCUGGACUGAUACUGACACUGAGGUGCGAAAGCGUGGGGGGCAAACAGGAUUAGAUACCCUGGUAGUCCACGCCGUAAACGAUGUCGACUAGCCGUUGGGAUCCUUGAGAUCUUAGUGGCGCAGCUAACGCGAUAAGUCGACCGCCUGGGGAGUACGGCCGCAAGGUUAAAACUCAAAUGAAUUGACGGA
rnacentral:rRNA from 1 species